UGUCAUGGCGACUGUGCGCGGGAUACCUUCGGGUAUGCCGAGAUAUGCCUCUGGGAUCGGUCCGCGAACCCGCGUACAGCUGCCACCCCA
rnacentral:antisense_RNA from 1 species